rnacentral:rRNA from 1 species
AUGGGGUCCUUUGUGGCACGUCGGAAAAAACCCGAGCUCGUGCUACCGGCACGAGCAACACCGCGGGAGACUCUGCCUCUCUCCGACCUUGACGAUAUAAUAGGCCUGCGGCUUCUGCAGCCCUCCAUCGAGUUCUUUCGUGCGGUCGACAUUGGUGACCACGGGCAAGGGCGGCCUGCCAUUGCCGCCAAGGCAAUCAAGGCCGCCCUCGCGGAGGCGUUGGUGCACUACUACCCUCUGGCAGGCGGUCUCUGGGAGGCUCCUGGAGGCAAGCUAGUCGUCGACUGCACCGGGGAAGGUGUCGUGUUUGUCGAGGCGGAGGUGGACGUGUCCAUGGAUGAGCUCGGCAAGCCAUCGCCUCUGCCACCAUACCCAUGCGUCAAAGAACUGCUGUGCGAGGUGGGCAACCCUAUGGUUGUUGUCGGAGUUCCUCUCUUCUUGAUGCAGGUGACCCAACUCAGAUGUGGAGCAUUUGUAAUUGGUCUUCACAUUUGCCACAGCAUUGCCGACGGCUAUGGCAGUAUCCAAUUCUUGAAAUGCAUUGUCGACUUGGCCCGUACUAGUGGUGACACCUCGCAAAUUGUAUUGCCGGUAUGGAACAGGGAGCUCCUGACAGCACGUAUCCCGCCGCACAUAAACCCAGUGUUUGAGGAAUUCCUCCAGAGAUUAGGCAGCACUGGAGAUGACAUUAUGUUGUCAACGCCACCGGAAGAAAUGGUUGGCCGCUUCUUCGUCUUUAGUCCAAGAGACAUCAUGGUGCUAAGAAGCCACAAUGCCCCCAUGCAUCCUGACCCUCCAGCCACAAGCUUCGAGCUUCUGACCGCAGUCAUGUGGCGUUGCCGCACGGUGGCUCUCGAUUAUGAGCCACACCAUCGGGUCGGCCUAAUGUUCACUAUGAACGCGCGCGGGAGAGGGAAGCACCAUGGGCUCGUCCCGCAUGGGUUCUACGGCAAUGCGGUCUUCUACCCUAUGACGGACACGACCGUCGGAGAGCUAUGCGGCAACCCACUUACCUACACAAUCGCACUCAUCCGUGAGGCCAAGCGCAACAUGACUGGCGAUUGCAUGGAGUCCAUGGUGGAUUUCCUGGCCUCUCUGCGUGGGCGCCCACCACUGACCGUGGACAGAGUGUAUGAGGUCAGUGACAUGAAAUGGAUUGGACAGGAGGCACUGGACUUCGGAUGGGCUAAGCGUGUUGGAGGCGGCUUACCCAUGGUCGGGGAUGCCUCGACCGACUCUGUGAGCUGCCACAUGAGGUGUAAGAAUGGCAAAGGGGAGGAUGUGAUCGUGGUGAGCAUGUUAUUGCGAAGACUUGCAAUGGACAAGUUCGAGAAGGAGAUUGUUGUUUGGAUGAAUAAUAACGAAACUAGUUGUCCAGCUCAAUUUGAUGGCCUAAUCUGUCCCCGCUAA